rnacentral:rRNA from 1 species
GAUCAUGGCUCAGGACGAACGCUGGCGGCGUGCCUAACACAUGCAAGUCGAACGGAACUUUUUUAAAAGAUUUCUUCGGAAUGAAUUUGAUUAAGUUUAGUGGCGGACGGGUGAGUAACGCGUGAGUAACCUGCCUCUGAGAGGGGAAUAACAUUCUGAAAAGAAUGCUAAUACCGCAUAAUAUAUAUUUAUCGCAUGGUAGAUAUAUACAAAGUAUUUAUCGCUUAGAGAUGGACUCGCCGUCCGUA